rnacentral:rRNA from 1 species
UACAGAGGUCUCAAGCGUUGUUCGGAUUCAUUGGGCGUAAAGGGUGCGUAGGCGGCGCGGUAAGUCGGGUGUGAAAUCUCGGGGCUUAACUCCGAAACUGCAUUCGAUACUACCGUGCUUGAGGACUGGAGAGGAGACUGGAAUUUACGGUGUAGCGGUGAAAUGCGUAGAUAUCGUAAGGAAGACCAGUGGCGAAGGCGGGUCUCUGGACAGUUCCUGACGCUGAGGCACUAAGGCCAGGGGAGCAAACGGG